UACGAAGGGGGCUAGCGUUGCUCGGAAUCACUGGGCGUAAAGCGCACGUAGGCGGCUUUUUACGUCAGGGGUGAAAUCCUGGAGCUCAACUCCAGAACUGCCUUUGAUACUGAGAAGCUUGAGUCCGGGAGAGGUGAGUGGAACUGCGAGUGUAGAGGUGAAAUUCGUAGAUAUUCGCAAGAACACCAGUGGCGAAGGCGGCUCACUGGCCCGGUACUGACGCUGAGGUGCGAAAGCGUGGGGAGCAAACAGG
rnacentral:rRNA from 1 species